rnacentral:rRNA from 1 species
GAACGCUGGCGGCGUGCCUAACACAUGCAAGUCGAACGGAGAAUUUCAAUAAGUUUACUUAGAGAAGUUCUUAGUGGCGGACGGGUGAGUAACGCGUGGGUAACCUACCCAUAAAGUCGGGACAACCCUUGGAAACGAGGGCUAAUACCGAAUAAUCUUCGAGCUUGGCAUCAAGCAUGAAGGAAAGAUGGCCUCUGAAAAUGCUAUCGAUUAUGGAUGGACCCGCGUCUGAUUAGCUAGUUGGUGGGGUAAAGGCCUACCAAGGCGACGAUCAGUAGCCGGCCUGAGAGGGUGAACGGCCACACUGGGACUGAGACACGGCCCAGACUCCUACGGGAGGCAGCAGUGGGGAAUCUUCCGCAAUGGACGAAAGUCUGACGGAGCAACGCCGCGUGUAUGAUGAAGGUCUUCGGAUUGUAAAGUACUGUCUUUGGGGAAGAACGGUCUUCUUGAGAACAUUGAGGAGACAUGACGGUACCCAAGGAGGAAGCCCCGGCUAACUACGUGCCAGCAGCCCGCGGUAAUACGUAGGGGGCAAGCGUUGUCCGGAAUUAUUGGGCGUAAAGGGCGCCGUAGGCGGAUGUUUAAGUCCGGUGUGAAAGAUCAGGGCUCAACCCUGGGAAGUGCAUUGGAAACUGGCANGACUUGAAUACGGGANAGGGUAAGUGGAAUUNCUGGUGUANGAAGUGAAAUCCGNANAUAUUAGGAGGAACCCGGUGCNAAGCGGNUACCU